rnacentral:rRNA from 1 species
UACGUAGGGUGCGAGCGUUAAUCGGAAUUACUGGGCGUAAAGGGUGCGCAGGCGGCGUCGCAAGUCAGGCGUGAAAUCCCCGGGCUUAACCUGGGAACUGCACUUGAAACUACGAUGCUGGAGUAUGGCAGAGGGAGGUGGAAUUCCACGUGUAGCGGUGAAAUGCGUAGAGAUGUGGAGGAACACCGAUGGCGAAGGCAGCCUCCUGGGCCAAUACUGACGCUCAUGCACGAAAGCGUGGGGAGCAAACAGGAUUAGAUACCCUGGUAGUCCACGCCCUAAACGAUGAUGACUAGUUGUUGGAGGAGUUAAAUCCUUUAGUAACGCAGCUAACGCGAGAAGUCAUCCGCCUGGGGAGUACGGUCGCAAGAUUA